rnacentral:lncRNA from 1 species
AUGGAUAGAUGGUCGGUCGGUUGUAGUGUCAUGCGAUUUUUAUAGAAUAAUAAAUGCGUUAGAUUUUUACAGAUUCAUUUAAACAGAUUUUUACACAUUUUUACAGAGUAUUAAAGGGUAUUAAAUAGUCAGAGUAAUCCGAAUAUUAAACCUGAUAUUAACGUCGAAUCUUUACCUUGUUUUCACAGGAUUUUCACGAGAUUUGCACCGUUUUUAAGGAGAUGGGUCAGGAUUACUAACAUCUGGUUACGAUGGCACCUGCAGAACCCUAUUUGAUGGGUCUCAUGUAGUCAUGAUCAGUAUCCAUUUUCAGAUGGGAAUCCUGCAGAACAUCGAUCAGAUUGUUACGACGGCAAAUAACAAAAGAGUAAUAGAGUAAACGAUGAAGAAUAAGAUGUAGAGGCCGACUAAAAAUUUAUACCAUUGUUAUCGGAAGAAAAAGAUGUAGAUGGUGACUAAAAAUUUAAACCAAAUUAAUCGACAGUCUAACCUUGGUAAACCUACAAAAGUUAAACCACGCUCAGAUUUUUCCACCUUCUUACAUCCUCCGAAAAAGCUGCAAAAGGAGACAAGAAUGAUUUCGAUUCGACGUGCGCAGACUUGCUCUCGAUAGAUGAUUGACGUAUGCAGAGUGCGACAGUGAAAAGACUAGACCUGAAAAUAUUAUUCUAAUACAAUAAAUUUAAUUUAUAAAAGCCCGUUGUCAAAUUUACCAAUACUUUCACAUAACGUAUUUCAGACAUUGUCUUAAACUAAAUGUAACAAAUUUAUUACUAUAGAUUUGACCGUUGAUUAAUUAUGCACCCAAAUUUUUUACCAUAAUAAGAUUUUAAAAAGUCGGUGGAAUUCUAGAAAUUCGAAAUACCGAAAUCGAAUUACUGAAACGAUUUCAGGAUAAUUUUUCGAUAAUCCAAAUCUAUAUAAUUAAUGUGAAAUUAUAAAGUGAUGGGUAUUAAUGGAAGAAUAAUAUAACCGAAUAGUAUAAACCGAAUAGUAUCUACUUUCGGAUAUACUAACCGAAUUAGAUAUAUCCGAAUAAUUAUCCGGUUAUAUCCAGAUAAAAUAUUUCGGAUAUAUAUUGGGUUCUAAUUUAUUUGGAUAAAUCCCUACCGAUUUUAUUAUGGUCAAUCUUUCCCGAUCUACUCCAAAAUCCCUACCACCCGGUCUACGCAGGCGACAGGAUAACCAGACCGGCCCGCCGCGUUCUGGAUUUACCUAAAUAGUCAAAGAAGUCAUCCCUCGAUAAUCUGUAAAUUGAUAAUCAAUAGGUAUUUUUAAUCAUUAAAUAAAAUAAAGUAAUCGGAUUGCAGGCAGCCUGUAUAAUUUUCCAAAACAAUCUACAUGUAAUGAAUAUCCGUCAAAAGUUCUUGGAGAACAUCAUUAAACGAAAGAAACGGAGGAAUAAAACCUAGAAUCUCGUAGACGAAAUCUACCAUACAGCUGUGUGUUAAAAUAAACUGUUGCCUAACACCUAACGAAAAACUCGAGAACAUAAACCCAAAAUAAUCCCUUACCUCCGCUUUUAUAUUCUCCAAAGAAAAUAAGGUAUGUCUCCGGUGAUGUUGUUCUUCCACUUCGCCCAUGACGGAAUCAUUUGGAAUGGGUAAUCGGCAACAUGAUUUACAAAUCAUACAGGUUUUGAGAUAUACGAGAUUGCCUGGUGGAGUUGAUAUAUGAGACUGCCUGGUGGAGUUGAUAUACGAGACUGCUUGGUGGAGUUGAUAUACGAGACUUCAUGGUACAAGACCAACGAAGAAUUUCGAAAUUAGGGAUGAAUUGAAAAUAGGGUUAUGCAGUCUGUAUAUGAUUUUGGUUAAAAUUCAUUUCCUCAUAAAUGGGUUAUAAUUGAUUGACCGAUUAAUGCAUCUCACCCGAUUAUUUAUGUUUGAGGGUUUAUUUGUCAUUACCUAUUUGCCUCCCAAUGUCGAUACUACGAGGUAUUAAAAUCUGCAAGAACCCCUUCCAUUAUUAAUUUGCGAUAACCCAUUUCGAUUGUAAAAAGAACCCAUUCCGAUU